UACGAAGGGGGCUAGCGUUGCUCGGAAUCACUGGGCGUAAAGCGCACGUAGGCGGAUUGUUAAGUCAGGGGUGAAAUCCUGGAGCUCAACUCCAGAACUGCCUUUGAUACUGGCGAUCUCGAGUCCGGGAGAGGUGAGUGGAACUGCGAGUGUAGAGGUGAAAUUCGUAGAUAUUAGGAAGAACACCAAUUGCGAAGGCAGCUCGCUGGGACGUUACUGACGCUGAGACGCGAAAGCGUGGGGAGCAAACAGG
rnacentral:rRNA from 1 species